GCUUAACACAUGCAAGUCGAGCGAGAAUCGUUUUGCUGAAGGCUUCGGUCUGACGCAGAAUGAGGAAAGCGGCGAACGGGUGAGUAACGCGUGGGCAACCUGGCCUUAAGAAAAGGAUAGCCCCCGGAAACGGGGAGUAAUACUUUAUGAGAAUAGAAAAGGGCAUCCUAUUUCUAUUCAAAGCGCAAGCGCUUAAGGAUGGGCCCGCGUAUCAUUAGCUAGUUGGUGAGAUAACAGCCCACCAAGGCAACGAUGAUUAGCCGGUCUGAGAGGGCGAACGGCCACAUUGGAACUGAGAGACGGUCCAAACUCCUAAGGGAGGCAGCAGUGGGGAAUAUUGCGCAAUGGAGAAGAACUCUGACGCAGCAAUACCGCGUGAGCGAAGAAGGUCUUCGGAUCGUAAAGCUCUGUUAUCAGGGAAGAAGAAAGUGACGGUACCUGAUGAGCAAGUCCCGGCUAACUACGUGCCAGCCGCCGCCGUAACAC
rnacentral:rRNA from 1 species